CGACGAGUUCUCGUUGAUGAUCGGUGCUUGCACCGAGAUUCAACAUGGAACGAGUGGCGGACGGGUGAGUAACACGUGGGUAACCUGCCCUUAAGUGGGGGAUAACAUUUGGAAACAGAUGCUAAUACCGCAUAGAUCCAAGAACCGCAUGGUUCUUGGCUGAAAGAUGGCGUAAGCUAUCGCUUUUGGAUGGACCCGCGGCGUAUUAGCUAGUUGGUGAGGUGAUGGCUCACCAAGGCGAUGAUACGUAGCCGAACUGAGAGGUUGAUCGGCCACAUUGGGACUGAGACACGGCCCAAACUCCUACGGGAGGCAGCAGUAGGGAAUCUUCCACAAUGGACGCAAGUCUGAUGGAGCAACGCCGCGUGAGUGAAGAAGGCUUUCGGGUCGUAAAACUCUGUUGUUGGAGAAGAAUGGUCGGCAGAGUAACUGUUGUCGGCGUGACGGUAUCCAACCAGAAAGCCACGGCUAACUACGUGCCAGCAGCCGCGGUAAUACGUAGGUGGCAAGCGUUAUCCGGAUUUAUUGGGCGUAAAGCGAGCGCAGGCGGUUUUUUAAGUCUGAUGUGAAAGCCCUCGGCUUAACCGAGGAAGCGCAUCGGAAACUGGGAAACUUGAGUGCAGAAGAGGACAGUGGAACUCCAUGUGUAGCGGUGAAAUGCGUAGAUAUAUGGAAGAACACCAGUGGCGAAGGCGGCUGUCUGGUCUGUAACUGACGCUGAGGCUCGAAAGCAUGGGUAGCGAACAGGAUUAGAUACCCUGGUAGUCCAUGCCGUAAACGAUGAAUGCUAGGUGUUGGAGGGUUUCCGCCCUUCAGUGCCGCAGCUAACGCAUUAAGCAUUCCGCCUG
rnacentral:rRNA from 1 species